rnacentral:misc_RNA from 1 species
GAAGUUGGAGUAGCACAUGUGAGUGUGGAUCUGUGUGGUGUCCUGGAUACCGACGUUGGUGAUUCGGAAAGAGUGAACGGCCCAGUUCAAGUAGAAAGCGUGCUCAGCCUUCCUAAGAGGCAAUCCCUCUCUCAAUGCAGCUUCGUCAAUUUGGAUGACAGUGAUACCGGCCUUCUCCAAAUCCUCCACUUCAUCCUUAAUGGCCAAAGCAAUCUGGUAGCAGGUCUCAAACCUAGGUUGGUCAUUUCUGACAAAAGACCAGUUGAGAAUGGUGACAGGG